GCCGGGAGGAGGAGGGCGCGGGGGAGGUGCAGGGGGAGGGAUCCGCGAGCCUGGGAGAGGGAGGCUGCAGCGAGGGAGCGGGACUGGGCCGGAGAGGUGUGUCGGCAGCAGGCGGAGAAGGGUGGAGAGCUUGACAGGGCCGGGAGGGUCUCAGCGGCGACCCAUCGCCUGCAGCCCAGUGCCUGGGCCUGCGCCCUCGCCUCUGGUUCUCAGUGUGCACCGCCCGGGACCCCGACUGGGGGCCACCGAAGCAUCCACUACAGUUCCCAGUUGCACCGAAUUGCGUCAUGUGCAGACGCAUGGGAAAUGGUCGGCAGGGGGCGGAAUCGGGGGACAGGGGCAACUCGCGCCCCCCACCCUCCGUGCCCCGCCGCCCCGCCCCGCGAGGCUUUGGGCAUUUAGGAAGGCAAGGAAAGGAAGAGAAAGGGCAGAGAGAAGAGAGAGAACUGCGUGCAAAGGAUCGCCAGGGAGAGCGCAGAGACGUGGAAGGGGACGGAAAAGCAGCCAGUCUGGGGCCCUAGCGUUCAAGAACCUUACUAGAAGGGGACUCCAAGUCCGAUCCCACCCCGGAUCAUGAUCGGCUCCUAAUUUACCCUCGGCCCUCUCCUGGCGGGGCGAGUGCGCGAUGUCUAGUUUCUAGCAGCAUCCCCACCCCCCCAUGCCCCGGCCAAGCAGGAUAGAGGCGGGGAGGACAGAGAGGUGGCACAGGGGAUGUCCAGGUCUGCUUGUGGACCCGAGGGGACUUUGUCGAGUCCCAGGAGGGGCAUCGAAAGAGCGAGCGGGGAGGGCCUAGAAGACGUUGAAGCUGAGCCGGGGCAGACUGGGGCGGCACGAAGGGGAGGUGAACAGAAUGGCCGAGGAGCCCAGCAUUCGUCAGAAAUUCGCGUCCCCUGGUCGCCGACAGGCAGCCGAGCGGAGGCCCUCCCGACGGGGCUCGAGAAGCCGCAGAGUGUGAAGUUUAGCACCUCCGGCGGCGAGACGGCGCGUUCCGGUGAGCCGCUCCAGCGUCCGGCUGGGGGAGCUGCUGCGCCCCACGCGGCCUGCCGAGGGCGCCGCCCGCGAGGCCCGGAGCUCAGUGGGGUCGGGGUGAGGGGCGAGAGGACCUGGAGAGGGGGCAGGGCUGCCCGAGUGGGAGGGUCAGGGGCGCGCCUGCCCUGGGGUGUGUCCGGGCCCCCGGCUCCGGGCCCUUGAAGCCCCGGGAGCAGGAAGCUUGCGCAAUCCCUUGGCUGAGCGUCCAUGAAGAAAGAAAAAGAGCAAAAGCCGAGCGAGAGUGGAACGAGCAAGGGGGGCGGGCAAGGAGCCAUCCGGGUCUCCGCUCCCUCCCUGACACACGUCCCGGAAUGCUAGGUGGGGACGGCGCGGGAGCUCGAGAGAGCCAGGGAGGGGCGAGGUCUUGAUGGACAGACAGACAGACAGACAGACAGUUGGACGCAGAUGCAAUGCUGUGGGUGUUAAAGUGAGAGAACCCAGGGCACACCAACGAUUUCCCCCUAAACCUGAACCCUCCAACCCCACAGAGGAGCGCCUGCGCCUGCCACCGCCAGUCAGCUGAAAUGAAAAUGUCAACCAACGUUUGUGUCCGAACUACACGCGUUCGUCAAUUGCAAGCACAGGUUGGCUACUGAUCCACGAGUUGGGCCAAAAGUCCACGAAAGAAAGAGUUCUGUGAAUCACCUGCUGUGUGUUUGCAUUAAGUCUGCUUUAGCCUGGGUGGUCAGAGAAGGCCUCACUGAGCAAGUUCCAUGUGAAGUAUGACCCGCAUGUUGAGAAGGAGCCAGCCAUGUAAAGACUGCAGGGACAGCAGGUGCAAAGGCCCUGAGGCAGCACGGAUUUGAAGACUCGAAUGCCAACCAGAGAGGGGAGGGCUGAAGACACAGACACCAGCAGCCAGCCUACAGGGUUCCGCAUCCCAGCUCGGCCAUUGACUCCCCCUGUCACCUUGAGGAAGGAGGUGCCGGACAGCCAAGCCCGAGUGAGAACCCCCACCCAGGAUGAGGAUCCCUGGGGCCAGGGACGCACAUCACCUGUAGGCCAGCGGGCCUGAGCUGUGCACCUCGCUGCUCUCUGCGGAAGAAGACGUCACAUGCGGCCCAGCGCAGGCUCCAGAGUCCCGGGAGCCUCGCAUGUGGGGCCCAUGGAGCGCCUGGGGGCCAUGGGGCUUGGAGCCCAGGAGCUGUCACUGCUGCCCUGUGGAGGGUCCCUCAGUCCCUGUUGACCUUGAACGGCGACCCCUGGGUGCAAGCGGGAGACUUUUUGCCCUGGGUUUGAGUUGACCCCUCUGCUGGGUCUAUAUGGGUCCAGGAAGUGCCCGGUCAGGGGACCGAGCCCAGGCAGUCCUCAGGACUCUGUUGGGGGCAGGGUGCUCUCUGAGAAGCAGAAUCAGGAUUGGGGCACCCGUGUCAUCUAUUUUGGGUCUUCAGCUCACUGCAUGUGAAGAGGGUCUUUUAACACCAAACCCAGUGCCAGCCUUGGACACAUGGGGGUGGCCUGGAUGGCUCGGCUGGGCAGGGCUGGGCUAACGUACACCCCGGCCGCUGGCUAGAAGAGGCCACGAGAGGUGGGCCAGGGCGCCAUCCAGCUCCUGGGGAGCCGCCUGCUGGAUUGUGCAGGGGGCUGGGAACCCACUGGGUUGUGUGCCCAGGAUGGCAGCAUGCAGGGUUGUGUUCUGGUGGCUCAGACCUGCCUUAUCCCCCACUUACAGAGGGGUAAACUGAGGUUCCAACUGUGUGUGGUGGCGGCAGGGCUGGGACUUGACCCCACACCUCCAGCUGGAAGCCGUGCCCCCAGAUCUUCUCUUUUAUUCCCUGGGCCCCAACGAGGCCCUGGGUCUCCACACAUCGUGACCAGCUGGCAGGAGGGCCUGGGGUUUGUGGAACAAUGUGGAGUGAGUUAAACAGACACAAGUCCCCGUUGUCGUGGAGAUUAUCGUUUCAGAAGGUGGAGCUGGGGAGGGGUGGUGGGGGCUGAGGACUGUCUGACGGUAGCUCCCGUGACUUGGUCCCACCGAGCCUUGGGCUGGGCGCCCGGUAAAUACACUCCUAUGUUAUCCACACGACCACCGCAUGAGGUGGUCAUUAUUGUCCUCAGCUCUGCGGGGUAAACCGAGGCAAAGACAGUUGAACAAUAUGCAAGAGGGCAUGAGAGGUGAAUGUAGUUUGCACGUGGGAUGGAUGUGAAUUUGGGGGGCCAAGGGGGAGACUAUAAUGGGUUGGAUAGUAGCCCCCCCCAUAUGUCUCCCGGAACCUCAGAAUGUGACCCUACUUGGAAUAAGGGUCUUUGCAGAUGUAGUUAAAGUAAGGACCCCGAGAUGAGAUCCUCCUGGAUCAGGGCGGACCCCAAAUAUAAUGACGAGCGCCCAUGUAAGAGACUGAAGAGGAGAAGACGCACAGAGACAUUCUGACGUCUCCAGAAGGCCACGUGAGGGUGGAGGCAGAGAUGGAAGUGAUGCAGCCAUGAGCCAAGGACACCUGGGGCCGCUGGAAGCUGGAAGAGACAAAGAAGCGUCCUCCCCUAGAGCCUUCGGGGCAGCGUGACCCUGUUGACACGUUGAUUUUGGACUUCUGGUCUCUAGAGCUGGGGAGAAGAAACUUCUGUUUUUUUAAGCCCCCAAGUUCGGGCGGGACCAGGAUCCGGCCCUGGUGGCGUCUGCCACAGGCCUUGUUUCUCACGCCCCUGCCUGCCCAGGCAGGCCCUGGCCUAGAGUCCUGCAUCCUUUUCUUGGUGGUGGAAAAGGAAGGGCCGUGCAUCUUUGCCGAGCACCUGCCAAGGGCCAGAGGCUGUCACAGGCCUUCUCAUCCACAUUCAUGCCAGCCUGUGAGAUGCCCACUCUUAUCCAUCCUACAGAUGAAGGCAGUCCGCAGACGAGGCCCUGGCUGGGCCCUGAGAGGGUGGGGCACUCAGAGAAGAGGGGCUCUGAGCCCCAGAGCUGUCGUUUGCUUCCACCAAAAUGCCCCUGAACGGGCAGGGUGUGAUGAGAGAAUCGCUCAGUGGACGCAUAGCACAAUGCCAUAAAAACCCCACAGCUGCCCUCUAAACACGCGUGCCCAGAGAAAGGUCUGGAAAGAUAGACCUUUUAGGGCUGUUCUCGAUCCUUCCUUUCCCACAGCCCCUGCCCUAGGUCCAGCCCUCACCCCGAAGGCUGUAGCCCUGGCCUCUCUGCUUCUCCUUUUCCUGCAAAUCCGCCCCAAACACCCAUUUCCCUACUCACUCCUGCCCAAGCUGCCUAUUCCGUGCAUCUGAGCACCAAGGGCCUCCUGGGACCCACCUGCUGCCUGGCCCUUGCUCCUCGGCCCAGUCUGCCCCGGGCUUCCCUUGGAGGAGCCCUGUCCCCACUGGGCAGCCUCCCCUCGCCCCCCUUUAGGGCCCUGCCCCGCUCAGGCCUCACCCCUCCCUUUCAGGGCAAGGAGGGAGGGGAUGACCCUCUGCCGAGCGCGCCCUGCAUCCCAGGCCGGGUGAGAGGGCCUUUGCUCAGAGACCAGCCCCUCAUAAGAGCCCUGACGCUGGGUCUUAUCUCCAUUUUACAGAUGAGAAAACUGAGUCUCAGAUGCGAAUAAACGGGUUCCCACAGCUGCGAAGCGUCAGAGUUGGGACUGCCAACACCCAUUGCCCAUGUCCGUGCUCUUAAAAGUCAUUGAGCGCCUACUCUGUGCACACUGUGCCUGACUGCUGGGCCCCAGGCGCCUGCUCUGAGAACCGCCAGAGCCUGCCACGUGGACCCCCUCCCCCCGGCAGCCGUCACAUCUGCAGCUCUCGCGGUGACACUUCAUCAGUGAUGUGGGAUGGGGACAUCAGUCUUUCAAGUCUGUGUGCACACAGCACGCCUUAUCUCCCCAGCUGGACCAGCACACCCGGCCAGUGGGACGUGCCUGCGGUUUCUCCCAUGUCUCCUUCUGUCCCUAGCAGGCACUCUGGCAUGCGUGUAGCAAUCCUUCUUGAAGGAAUGUGUAAAAUGUGGAGUAGAUGGUGACGCUGACCACCAGGGCCGAAUUUCAGUUAGGCCCUGGUGCCUUUAUAGGUGACCACAGUGCUUGGUGCUGAGUACUUCAUGAAACUCCUCGUUGCAUCCUCCCAAUGGGCCCUUUGGGACUGGAGGACGCCCAGAGAGGCCAAAUGACUUGCUCAGUGUCACUCCGUGGUGCCUGGACCGGGGGUUGAAGGCUGGCUGCGCUGACGUCAUCACAGGAGCUGGGGGGCCAGUGGGCUUGUCCAUUUAUCCUGAGGAUCUAGGGCAGUGCUAUCCCGUGGAAGCAUCAUGUGAAACGCAUCUGUAAUUUUAAGUUUCCUGGUAGCCACGUUAAGAAAGUAAAAAGAAACAGGCAGGAAGCUGCUGAUGUCAGCGGACAGCACGUACCACCGAGGUGUCUGCGGGAUGCCGCCUGGAGCAGCCCCGGGAGGGGCCGGCCUCCACCGUCUGCUUAUCAUUUCAGUGGAUGCUGUUUGCUGGCAGCUGAGGGUAAUUACAGGGCUGCGUCCUUGAGGACGGGUCUGCGCAUGUGUCUCUCGCAGGGCUGGUGGCCCGGCUGGGGCAGCCGAGCGAGCGGUGCCGUCAGCUGCUCACUGAGAUGUGAACUGCUGGGACUCCCGGCAGGGCCUCCGUUCGCCGCACCCCGACGCCUGGGAUGAAAAUGCCAAAUCUGUUUGAAAUGGAGACAUCUCCCCCCUCUCAGGGCCUGCGAGAUGAUGCCAUCUGUGGGCGGUCCUGGCAGCAUUGACCUCCCCUCUCCAGCCACAAACUCUGCCCCCAGGAUGUCCUGUCCCCUGCAGUCCCAUUCUUGUCCUUGUCGCUCUUGCUUUGUUCUUGCUCCUUAGAGCCUUUUCGUUUCUCCCCUCCUCUCUCCGCCCUC